rnacentral:lncRNA from 1 species
CCUGGCCCACUCCUGAAGCUCAUAAAGGCAAAGCACUCCCUGCCACAAAGACCUCUGCCCAGUCCCCGCGCGCGUCCUUCCUUCCUUCAGGACCGUCAGUCAUGAAGUCCUAUGUAUUGACAAUUGCCAUCGCUCUGAUCCUCAUUCAUAAGACUGCAGGAAGCCUGAAGCAAUUCCCACCAAGACCGAAGGCAUAUGAGAUCUCGUGUGCCGAAGACCAAGGACUAUGCAGAUGGAAAUGCAGAAAACCUGAAAAUGAACUGAACUACUACUGUGAGAACCGCAAAAAGUGCUGUAUGAUUGGAUUUCCAACUGCCAUUAGUCAAACAACUGAGGCUAGCAAAAUUGAGACCACAAGCAUAUUUUAUUUCUGAAGUUUCCCAACCCU